AUACUCUGGUUUCUCUUCAGAUGGUAUAAAUCUUUCACCUCUUACUAAAGGUUUCUGUGAAGAGGAACAGGCAUGAGUGUCAAUGAAUUUUUUGAAGCUUCUUUUUUUUGUUUAGGGCU
rnacentral:snRNA from 1 species